CCCAGCCCCGCACGGCCCCUCACAGCCCCGGCGCCGCACGGACCCAGCCUCGCACAACCCAGGGCAGGGCCGUGGCAGGGCCGACACCGCCCCCUGGCGGCGCGCACGGUCCCCGCUCCCGCAGCCGCCGCGGUCCCGGUGCGGGGCCCGAAGGGAGGCGGGGAAGAGGAACCAGCCGGGAAAGGGAUGUGUCCCAGCCAGCCAGGCCGAGAGCCCCGGCCAGCCUUCGGAAGAGUUCGCGUGAGCGCGGCUCAGUGUGAAAGACCACAAAAUAAGUAACCCUAAAAGAAAAAAGAAAAUAUUCACAUUGAAGAAAUAUUUAUCUUAAAAAAUACUGGAGAGAAGAGACUUGUAAGUGAAUGGAAGACUUAACUUCAACCUGCACUGUACACAGAGAGAACAUGCAACACUGCAACAAAGAGGGGGAAUAAAACCACAAAACCAACUAAUAAAAACUUAUCCAUAUAGUGUCACACAGUCUGAACUAAAAGACUAAUUUGAAGACAAUACAAAAGGUUUCUGUGCUCAGUUUCAAGAUGAUCUGAUGCAGCCCACUGUACAAAACCAACACUGCAGCGUUGUCUACAGUUACUUCAGAUAGGGACAGAUUUUCAAGAACAGUCAAGGAAUUCACUCAAGCUAAGGAAGACAAGAUGGUACAUAAAAAAUCUAUGUGUUUGCCUGAACACAUGAGUCAGCAAGUGCCUGCAAUAUCUAUUUUAAUGUGGAUUUUUUUUUUUUGUAUACUCAGCUUACUCCCAUCUCCAUCCUUAAGGCACACAAUUGUUCCUUAGUGGGUGUAGUUUGUAUCAUAAACCAGCUGAAAAUAAGUUGUCUUGGAGCUGUGCUGAAGUAUAGCUUACAUAAGCCAGUAGUUUGCACCUAGACAUUGAAUUCUGGGAAGCUCUUAAGUAUUCUGCUGGGAGCCAAAAGUGGUGCUCCUGUACCAAUUGGCUGAUGAAGUGCGAAAACUGACAUCUUUUCCUGUGUCAUGAGCAUCUAAUUUGCAAGACAGAGAAAGCAGUAGGGAAAAAGUUGUGAUUUCUUCAAGUAUGCAGUGACAGCAAAUCAUAAUUUUAGAAUUGAUGAGACUUAUGCAAAGCUAUUGAUGAGGAAAUGUUUUGCUAGGUAAUUCUUAAAGUGAUUUUUUUUUAAAGUCCUCGUGGUUAUUGUGUCUGUGCUGUUAUAUCCUGAACGUGAUAUUAUAAAACAACAAAAAAAGAAUGAUAUAAUUUUUUUUAUACAAAUAUGUACUUGUUGCUAAGCUUCACUCACGUUUUGGCAAGACAACCCCAAGUCAUAUUUUGCCUAUAAAACUAUAAUUAAGCUUUCAGACUGGGAAAAAAAGUGCAAGUUCAAAAUAGUAUAAAUCAAAAUAGUUAAAAGGUCAUAAUCUUUCUUUAAAAUAUUGUAUGUGUUCAAAUUUUAUUAAUUUUUAAAAUAUAUUUACACUCCUUGAUUC